GAAACUGCUCAAAGGUAAACGGGUGGGCCCUCGCAAAUCCGUUGGCGGGGGACUCAGUCGGGAAGCGCGGGCUCGUGCGCCGGUGGUUUGUUCGGACCCUCUCCUGGGCCGGGCCGGUGCCGCAGUCUCCGUGCGAUCCGACGCACUUCCUCCCGCCCCUUGGACGCCGCAGCCGGUUGGGUCGCUGCGCGAGUCGGCCAUAAGGACGGGCAGCGGAAGGUGGCCGGUGGCGUUCCUCGUGUUCGUCGCCGGUCGUUAUCCAGCCCGCCCGUGGCGCGACACCCGACCGAGGUCGAAGGUCCCGGUUAGGACCUUGCCGUCCCCUCCCCCGUGGUCGAGCAGGAGCGCCAGCAGGCGAUUCCCCGUUCGGUCGUCUCCACUCUCCGAGUGGGCGGUCGCCGGGUGACGCCGUUGGCGAGGUGUCUUCCUGCGCGGGGUUCCGGCGGCUUGCGGCGAGUAGGUCGGUCACCCACCCGACCCGUCUUGAAACACGGACCAAGGAGUCUAACAUGUGCGCGAGUCACGGGGUCUUGCUUAGGCCCAGAGGCGCAAUGAAAGUGAAGGCCGGCCUUGACGCCGGCCGAGUUGGGAUUCUCCGCCCUCGCGGCGGGGAAGCACCAACGGCCCGCCCUGUCCGAUUCAUCGGUUGGGCGGAGCGUGAGCGUACACGUUGGGACCCGAAAGAUGGUGAACUAUGCCUGGGCAGGACGAAGCCAGAGGAAACUCUGGUGGAGGUCCGUAGCGGUUCUGACGUGCAAAUCGAUCGUCAGACCUGGGUAUAGGGGCGAAAGACUAAUCGAACC
rnacentral:rRNA from 2 species